rnacentral:lncRNA from 10 species
UGCCAUGGUGGUGCGUGCCUGUAGUCCCAGCUACUUGGGAGGCUGAGGCAGGGGAAUCGCUUGGACCCGGGAGGCAAAGGUUGUAGUGAGCUGAGAUUGUGCCACUGCACUCCAGCCUGGCGACAGAGCAAGACUCCGUAUCAAAAGGAAAAAAAAAAAAAAAAAGAAAGAAAAUGGGCAAAAGAUCUGAACAUCUGAACAGUCACUUCAGCAAGGACGAUAUACAGAUGGCAAGUAAGCAUAUGAAACAAUGCUCAGCAUGAUAUGUCAUCGGGGCACUGAGAAUGAGAACAACAAUGUGGUGUCACCACACACCUACUAGGAUGACUAAAAUCCACAAAACUGACAUCAUCAAAUCUGGUGAGGAUGUGGAGCAACAGGAACCCCCAUUCAUUGCUGGUGGGAAUGCAACAUGAGACAGCCCCCUUGGAGGACAUUCUGGCAGUUUCUGACAAAGCAAAGCAGUUUUACUGUAUGAUGGAAUCACACUCUUAGGAACUCUUCAGAUAACGGGCUCUCUAGAUCGCCGGCCUCGAGUGGGG